AGAAUCAACGCUGGCGGCGUGCCUAACACAUGCAAGUCGCACGAGAAAGUGGAGCAAUCCACGAGUAAAGUGGCGCACGGGUGAGUAACACGUGAAUAAUCUACCUCCGAGUGGGGAAUAACUGAGAGAAAUCUUAGCUAAUACCGCAUAAUACCCACGGGUCAAAGCAGCAAUGCGCUUGGAGAGGAGUUCGCGGCCGAUUAGCUAGUUGGCGGGUAAUGGCCCACAAGGCGAUGAUCGGUA
rnacentral:rRNA from 1 species